rnacentral:tRNA from 1 species
GGGCUUGUGGUCUAGUGGCUAUGACGCCGCCUCGACAUGGCGGAGAUCGCAGGUUCAAAUCCUGCCAAGCCCA